rnacentral:rRNA from 1 species
GACGAACGCUGGCGGCGUGCUUAACACAUGCAAGUCGAACGGUGAAGCGCCUUCCUUUUUGGUUGGUGUGGAUGAGUGGCGAACGGGUGAGUAACACGUGAGUAACCUGCCCCCUUCUUCUGGAUAACCGCAUGAAAGUGUGGCUAAUACGGGAUAUUCUGGUUCUGUCGCAUGAUGGGUCUGGGAAAGAUAUUGUUUCGGUGGGGGAUGGGCUCGCGGCCUAUCAGCUUGUUGGUGGGGUGAUGGCCUACCAAGGCGGUGACGGGUAGCCGGCCUGGGAGGGUGGCCGGUCACACUGGGACUGCGACACGGCCCAGACUGCUACGGGAGGCAGCAGUGGGGAGUAUUGCACAAUGGGCGCAAGCCUGAUGCAGCGACGCCGCGUGAGGGAUGGAGGCCUUCGGGUUGUGAACCUCUUUCGCCAGUGAAGCAGGCCUGCCUCGUUUGUGGGUGGGUUGACGGUAGCUGGAUAAGAAGCGCCGGCUAACUACGUG